UUUCAGCAGUGGAUGUCUAGGCUCGCACAUCGAUGAAGAACGCUGCGAACUGCGAUACGUAAUGCGAAUUGCAGGAUUCAGUGAGUCAUCGAAAUUUUGAACGCAUAUUGCACUUCCGGGUUAGUCCUGGAAGUAUGCCUGUAUCAGUGUCCGUACAACAAACUUGGCUUUCUUCCUUCCGUGUAGUCGGUGGAGGAGAUGCCAGAUGUGAAGUGUCUUGCGGUUGGUUUUCGGACCGACUGCGAGUCCUUUUAAAUGUACUAAACUGUACUUCUCUUUGCUCCAAAAGUGGUGGCAUUGCUGGUUGUGGACGCUGCUAUUGUAGCGAGUUGGCGACCGGUUUGUCUGCUGCGGCGUUAAUGGAGAAAUGCUCGAUUCGUGGUAUGGUUGGCUUCGGCUGAACAAUGCGCUUAUUGGGUGAUUUUCCUGCUGUGGCGUGAUGGACUGGUGAACCAUGGCUCUUUAGCUUGGCAUUUGAAUCGGCUUUGCUGUUGCGAAGUAGAGUGGCGGCUUCGGCUGCCGAGGGUCGAUCCAUUUGGGAAAUGUUGUGUACUUCGGUAUGCAUCUCAAUGGACC
rnacentral:rRNA from 1 species